UGGGGGAUAUUGCACAAUGGGGGAAACCCUGAUGCAGCGACGCCGCGUGAGGGAAGACGGUUUUCGGAUUGUAAACCUCUGUCUUUAGGGACGAAAAAAAUGACGGUACCUAAAGAGGAAGCCACGGCUAACUACGUGCC
rnacentral:rRNA from 1 species